GCUCCAAUAGCGUAUAUUAAAGUUGUUGCAGUUAAAAAGCUCGUAGUUGAAUUUCUGGGCGGCCCGCCGGUCUUCCAUGUGUUGUACKGGGCGGCGCCGGCCAUCCUUGUGGAGAGGGCUCGCAUUUGGUUGCGGGUCGGAUCUGCAUCAUUUACUGUGAAAAAAUUAGAGUGUUUAAAGCAGGCUGUCGCUUGAAUACAUUAGCAUGGAAUAAUAAGAUAGGACUUCGGUCUAUUUUGUUGGUUGCGAACCGAGGUAAUGAUUAAUAGGGAUAGUUGGGGGUAUUCAUAUUUAAUUGUCAGAGGUGAAAUUCUUGGAUUUAUGAAAGAUGAACAACUGCGAAAGCAUUUACCAAGGAUGUUUUCAUUAAUCAARAACGAAAGUCAGGGGAUCGAAGAGGAUUAGAUACCCUCGUAGUCUUGACCAUAAACUAUGCCGACUCAGGAUUGGCAGGCGUUUUCUAACGACCCUGUCA
rnacentral:rRNA from 1 species